GCUACCGGCUGCCGGUUAUCGCCAACAAGCCACCAAAACAACACGGGCGGGGCGCAGUAACAAGUCCGCCACGGAUACAGCACGCGCACGUCCCCCCUCUCUCUUCGCCGUCCGGGGGUCUCGUUGAGGGUCGGCCGUUGCGAAGCGAGACAAGCCACCGCCCCGUCGCCGCGCGCCUAGGGUUUCGAUGGAGCCCGCUUCCCCCUCGGUUGCGUCUCCUCCGGCGGAGGAGGCGGCGGCGAGGCGGAGGUUGCCCGAUGAGCUGAAGCUGCGGCGGAGGACGCUGGAGACGGUGCUGGAGCAGUGCCAGCGCGCGCUCGAGAUGAUAGGCGAGGUCGAUCUGGGGGAGGUUGAGGAGGGGGCGAAUUCUAAGGAGGGAGUGCAGGAGGACGAGGGCGGCGAGGCGGACGGCCACGGCGGCGGUGACGAGGGGGCGCAGCCGCCGCCGCCCUCGGACGUCGACUACGAGACGGACGAGCUGUGCGAUCUUCUCCAAUCAAGGGUUCAAUCACCUGAAUUUCUUGAGAAGCUAGAUAGCAUUCAGAAGUCAGUGUAUCAACAUGGUGCAGUAGAUGAAACGGUAUCAUGGGAUAUUGUAAGUGCGGCAGAUAUAUGGGAUGAUAAGAGUAUGAACGUUAGUGAUGAUUCAGAGGAUGGAUAUGUUCUCGUUAAGCAAGAGGACAUAGUUGAUGGGAUUGCAUGCUUCAUGGCUGCAUACUUGCUGUCACUGAAGCAAACUAAGAUUAUCAUCAUUGAAGAGGGUAUCAUAUUGCUUGUUAAUUUUGUAAUCGUCAUGAUCAUGGCCAAUACGUGUUGUGCAGGACUUGACGCCUGAUCAACUUCAACAAGCUCUUAGCAAGACAUUUUCAGCUAAAAAGAGGAAAGGCAAGCUUCAGAAGGCAUGGGAUGGAACAAAAGUUAUUUACAACGUAGCAUCAUGGAGUGCGACAGCUGUUGGCAUCUACCAGAAUCCAGCGAUUGUACAAGCAGCAACAGCAGCCUUUUGGACAUCCUGCCGUGUAAUAUCCAAAUUUCUGUGAAUGAUCCAUAUGGCUGGACGCUGCAAACAUGCAAACACUGUCCAUGGCAAUGCUAAAGCCUUCUGUUUCAAAAGAUAUAAGGGAAACAUUGUUCCAACCUUUCAUGUAAAUAUGUAAAUAUUCCUGACCUGCAAGUUCGUUGAUUGCUUGUAACAGUGAGAUAGUAUGUCAAAAGAUAUCUGCUCGAAGCUUCAAAUCGCAUCAGGGAUGACAUGUGGGGCUAGUCUGUGGCACCUCACGUGGUCUAAUGGUCAACUUAAUCCCUGUGUUUGCGAGUACCAUUUGUAUCAAGGGUAAACCCCAACCAUUAAUGUACAUAAGCCCAUGGGUUGCAUAUCAGUCAUCCUACUCAAAAUUGGUGCAUCAAUGUAAUUAUCUCAAUUCGUUUGAAUAAAUUCAUUUGAGCCUGUUUCACCUCGGUGGAAA